rnacentral:rRNA from 1 species
GACGAACGCUGGCGGCGUGCUUAACACAUGCAAGUCGAACGAUGAAGCCUUAGCUUGCUUUGGUGGAUUAGUGGCGAACGGGUGAGUAACACGUGAGCAACGUGCCCAGGACUCUGGAAUAACCGCGGGAAACCGUGGCUAAUACCGGAUAGGUGCCGAGGCCGCAUGGUCUUCGGUUGGAAAGUUUUUGCGGUUCUGGAUCGGCUCACGGCCUAUCAGCUUGUUGGUGGGGUAAUGGCCUACCAAGGCGACGACGGGUAGCCGGCCUGAGAGGGUGACCGGCCACACUGGGACUGAGACACGGCCCAGACUCCUACGGGAGGCAGCAGUGGGGAAUAUUGCACAAUGGGCGCAAGCCUGAUGCAGCAACGCCGCGUGGGGGAUGACGGCCUUCGGGUUGUAAACCUCUUUUAGUAGGGAAGAAGCGCAAGUGACGGUACCUGUAGAAAAAGCACCGGCUAACUACGUG